AACUGCGAAUGGCUCAUUAAAUCAGUUAUCGUUUAUUUGAUAGUACCUUACUACUUGGAUAACCGUGGUAAUUCUAGAGCUAAUACAUGCUAAAAACCCCAACUUCGGGAGGGGUGUAUUUAUUAGAUAAAAAACCAACGCCCUUCGGGGCUUCUUGGUGAUUCAUGAUAACUUUACGGAUCGCAUGGCCUUGCGCCGGCGACGGUUCAUUCAAAUUUCUGCCCUAUCAACUUUCGAUGGUAAGGUAUUGGCUUACCAUGGUUUCAACGGGUAACGGGGAAUUAGGGUUCGAUUCCGGAGAGGGAGCCUGAGAAACGGCUACCACAUCCAAGGAAGGCAGCAGGCGCGCAAAUUACCCAAUCCCGACACGGGGAGGUAGUGACAAUAAAUACUGAUACAGGGCUCUUUUGGGUCUUGUAAUUGGAAUGAGUACAAUUUAAACCUCUUAACGAGGAACAAUUGGAGGGCAAGUCUGGUGGACAAUUCAGCUCCCAUUCUGCUGACGCCAGCAAUAGUCGGGCAUCUUUGAUGUUAUACCGGCUAGUCGAUGUACCCACUGAUCUGAUGGGGGGGUACCGGCAAGACAACCUGGAUCGGGGAAGGCUAAGGUGCUCUUUGGGCGCUAUGCUAAUCCCGAGCAGAGCUACUAUAAAGCGAUUUAUGGAUAGCCUGUGUAGAGCACGGAAAGGUGUCGGCCAACUCACGUAGUUGGCUUAAGGGACGUGCCAUUCCCACCUGAAAGGGUGGCUGUCAACAAUAGCGCCCAUCACGCAAAGGUUGACAGGUUCAAGCAGCCUUGUUUGAAGUUAAUAAUAGGCCAGCAGCCGCGGUAAUUCCAGCUCCAAUAGCGUAUAUUAAAGUUGUUGCAGUUAAAAAGCUCGUAGUUGAAACUUGGGUCUGGCUGGCAGGUCCGCCUCACCGCGUGUACUUGUCCGGCCGGGCCUUCCUUCUGGAGAACCUCAUGCCCUUCACUGGGCGUGUUGGGGACCAGGACUUUUACUUUGAAAAAAUUAGAGUGUUCAAAGCAGGCCUUUGCUCGAAUACGUUAGCAUGGAAUAAUAGAAUAGGACGUGCGGUCCUAUUUUGUUGGUUUCUAGGACCGCCGUAAUGAUUAAUAGGGACAGUCGGGGGCAUCAGUAUUCAAUUGUCAGAGGUGAAAUUCUUGGAUUUAUUGAAGACUAACUACUGCGAAAGCAUUUGCCAAGGAUGUUUUCAUUAAUCAGUGAACGAAAGUUAGGGGAUCGAAGACGAUCAGAUACCGUCGUAGUCUUAACCGUAAACUAUGCCGACUAGGGAUCGGGCGAUGUUCUUUUUCUGACUCGCUCGGCACCUUACGAGAA
rnacentral:rRNA from 1 species